rnacentral:rRNA from 1 species
UACGUAGGUGGCGAGCGUUAUCCGGAUUUAUUGGGUUUAAAGGGUGCGUAGGCGGCUUAAUAAGUCGGUGGUAAAAGGUAGCAGCUUAACUGUUUUACAUGCCAUCGAUACUGUUGAGCUUGAGUUAUUUGGAGGCAGCUAGAAUUUCCGGUGUAGCGGUGAAAUGCAUAGAUACCGGAAGGAAUACCGAUUGCGAAGGCAGGUUGCUACGAAUAUACUGACGCUGAUGCACGAAAGCGUGGGGAUCAAACAGG